rnacentral:piRNA from 1 species
UAAAACUCAGGGUACACAAAUGGGAACUAUGC